CAACUUUCAGCAACGGAUCUCUUGGCUCUCGCAUCGAUGAAGAACGCAGCGAAAUGCGAUAAGUAAUGUGAAUUGCAGAAUUCAGUGAAUCAUCGAAUCUUUGAACGCACCUUGCGCUCCUUAGUAUUCUGAGGAGCAUGCCUGUUUGAGUGUCAUGA
rnacentral:rRNA from 1 species